AUGAUCCAGUGAUCCAGUGUCCCGAUUGGCCAUACCUAUGUCACAUGGCCAUUCCAAUGAUUUAAGAAAAAAAGGUACGCCUGCAUAUUCCUACAGCUUCUCAGAGUCCUCUGGACUGUGACUGAGGAGACAAACCAUGCAGGAAACAAGU